rnacentral:rRNA from 1 species
UUUUGGACAAUGGGCGAAAGCCUGAUCCAGCAAUGCCGCGUGCAGGAUGAAGGCCUUCGGGUUGUAAACUGCUUUUGUACGGAACGAAACGGUUCUCCUUAAUACGGGGGGCUAAUGACGGUACCGUAAGAAUAAGCACCGGCUAACUACGUGCCAGCAGCCGCGGUAAUACGUAGGGUGCGAGCGUUAAUCGGAAUUACUGGGCGUAAAGCGUGCGCAGGCGGUUAUAUAAGACAGAUGUGAAAUCCCCGGGCUCAACCUGGGACCUGCAUUUGUGACUGUAUAGCUAGAGUACGGUAGAGGGGGAUGGAAUUCCGCGUGUAGCAGUGAAAUGCGUAGAUAUGCGGAGGAACACCGAUGGCGAAGGCAAUCCCCUGGACCUGUACUGACGCUCAUGCACUAA